UGAGGUGUGGGCAGCAUGAGGACU
rnacentral:piRNA from 1 species